UACGGGGGGAGCAAGCGUUGUUCGGAUUUACUGGGCGUAAAGGGCGCGUAGGCGGCCACCUCAAUUCGAUUGUGAAAUCUCCGGGCUUAACCCGGAAAGGUCAACCGAUACUGCGGGGCUAGAGUGCAGAAGGGGCAACUGGAAUUCUCGGUGUAGCGGUGAAAUGCGUAGAUAUCGAGAGGAACACCUGCGGCGAAGGCGGGUUGCUGGGCUGACACUGACGCUGAAGUGCGAAAGCUAGGGGAGCGAACGGG
rnacentral:rRNA from 1 species